AGAACGAACGCUGGCGGCAUGCCUAAUACAUGCAAGUCGAACGAACUCUUCGGAGUUAGUGGCGCACGGGUGCGUAACGCGUGGGAAUCUGCCCUUGGGUUCGGAAUAACAGUUGGAAACGACUGCUAAUACCGGAUGAUGACGAAAGUCCAAAGAUUUAUCGCCAAGGGAUGAGCCCGCGUAGGAUUAGCUAGUUGGUGAGGUAAAGGCUCACAAGGCAACGAUCCUUAGCUGGUCUGAGAGGAUGAUCAGCCACA
rnacentral:rRNA from 1 species